rnacentral:rRNA from 1 species
UUGGUGGGGUGAUGGCCUACCAAGGCGACGACGGGUAGCCGGCCUGAGAGGGCGACCGGCCACACUGGGACUGAGACACGGCCCAGACUCCUACGGGAGGCAGCAGUGGGGAAUAUUGCACAAUGGGCGGAAGCCUGAUGCAGCGACGCCGCGUGAGGGAUGACGGCCUUCGGGUUGUAAACCUCUUUCACCCAUGACGAAGCGCAAGUGACGGUAGUGGGAGAAGAAGCGCCGGCCAACUACGUGCCAGCAGCCGCGGUAAGACGUAGGGCGCGAGCGUUGUCCGGAUUUAUUGGGCGUAAAGAGCUCGUAGGCGGCUUGUCGCGUCGUCCGUGAAAACCUGCAGCUCAACUGCAGGCUUGCGGGCGAUACGGGCAGGCUAGAGUUCGGUAGGGGAGACUGGAAUUCCUGGUGUGGCGGUGAAAUGCGCAGAUAUCAGGAGGAACACCGGUGGCGAAGGCGGGUCUCUGGGCCGAUACUGACGCUGAGGAGCGAAAGCGUGGGGAGCGAACAGGAUUAGAUACCCUGGUAGUCCACGCUGUAAACGUUGGGCGCUAGGUGUGGGGGGCCUCUCCGGUUCUCUGUGCCGCAGCUAACGCAUUAAGCGCCCCGCCUGGGGAGUACGG